AUGGUUGCUGGAGAUGUGGACGAUGGCACCAACCGGUACAGACUUAUCAUGAUGACAGACAGGCGGAACAGCCAUCCUUCCAGUACAUUACUCAUUGGCCAGACACUUGAAAAAUCCUUUGGCGUCAUGCCAAUGGUUAUUUCUUUUUCUAACUAA